CGCACAUUGCGCCCAUUAGUAUUCUAGUGGGCAUGCCUGUUCGAGCGUCAUUUCAACCCUUAAGCCCCUGUUGCUUAGCGUUGGGAGCCUACAGCCCUGCUGUAGCUCCUCAAAGUUAGUGGCGGAGUUAGUGCAUACUCUAGGCGUAGUAGAUUUUUUCCAUCUCGCCUCUGUAGUUGUACUGUCUCCCGCCGUAAAACCCCCUAUAAUAUCAAAGGUUGACCUCGGAUCAGGUAGGAAUACCCGCUGAACUUAA
rnacentral:misc_RNA from 1 species